CGUGUUUUGUAAACGUCUCGCUAUCUUUUCUCUGUCAACAAUGGAUUAAGUUUAGUCCAUAUUUAUGUUUUUCAACAGCAUGCCACCACUUAUACAUCUGUGAGCAUGGAUUGCACAUUUCCUUUUCAGUUUACAUCCAUUUGUUUGGUAAAUACUCCAAGAAAGCCAGAGAGGCUUGUAAAUGAGGAAGAUGAUAAUGAACUCAAGGUGACAUCAGAUUUGUGGGAAUGUCAACAGUGACGAUCAGCCUCUCUGACAGUCAUAACCGUUUCAAGCUGAAAUCGAUGUUGCUGGCUUUCUGAGGCAUUUUAUUUUUGUAAGUGUGCUCUUGGGAGCUGCUCCUCGCUGUGCAGUAAGGACUGUGGAGUGUCUCUACGAGCUCUUGCUCUCUCAGGCACGCAGCUGUGAGCUCAGAGGGAAAUGUCAGCCGCAGACGCUGGGAGAGAGAGAGAGAGAGAGUGUGUUAGAGUGAGAGAGAAAGUGAGAGAGAGAGACGGGCAACAGAUCAACAGAAUAAUAAACAUGACAACUGUGAAAGAAGGCAGUGUCUCCGUCUCACACAGCUCUCUGCGAAGAACACUGCGGAAAUCAGCAAGAAUCUGAUUUUAAAAGAUAGCUGUCACUUCUAGUAUUUCAGCAAAAUUCAGUGUCAUUAUAAAGGUCUGUUAUUCAUUUUCAGGAAUA